rnacentral:rRNA from 1 species
CCUACGGUGUGCAGCAGUGGGGAAUAUUGGGCAAUGGGCGCAAGCCUGACCCAGCAACGCCGCGUGAAGGAAGAAGGCUUUCGGGUUGUAAACUUCUUUUAUCAGGGACGAAGCACGUGACGGUACCUGAUGAAUAAGCCACGGCUAACUACGUGCCAGCAGCCGCAGUAAUACGUGGGUGGCAAAUGUUAUCCGGAUUUACUGGGUGUAAAGGGCGUGUAGGCGGGAGUGCAAGUCAGAUGUGAAAAUUAGGGGCUUAACGCAGAGCCUGCAUUUGAAACUGUACUUCAUGAGUGCUGGAGAGGCAAUCGGAAUUCCGUGUGUAGCGGUGAAAUGCGUAGAUAUACGGAGGA